UAUGGGACCAGAUGCAAGAUUCAGAGAAAGAUAUUUGAAAGAAAGUAAAGGUGGCCAUGUUUUGCUGUUUCUGUGGACAAAAUCUAGGAACAAUUCAAGUUUUCUGUUUUUCAUGUGGGAAGAAUGUGCAGAUCUUGGCACAAGCUCAAGACACUGCUUGAGCGUUGCCAGCCAUAUGUAUGGCUCCUCAACAGCCAACCAACGCAUCGAAAGCUGGGGGUCAUAUUUCAGAAAACAAAG